UUGUAGACUGAAGGGGCGUUAUCCAUUUUGUGCGGCUCGGGUAUAGAUCCGUUGGAAAGCGGUAUCACAGAGGGUGAGAAUCCCGUACGUGACUCGAGUGUUUUAUAAUCCGCACAUUAAAGCGUUGCGCUUCCGAAGAGUCGGGUUGUUUGGGAAUGCAGCCCAAAAUGGGUGGUAAACUUCAUCUAAGGCUAAAUAUUGGCACGAGACCGAUAGCGAACAAGUACCGUGAGGGAAAGAUGAAAAGCACUUUGAAAAGAGGGUCAAAAAGUACGUGAAACCGUUAAGAGGGAAACGAAUGGAGCUAGCAAACCGCUUUGUCGUACUUGGUUACAAUCAGCCGGACGCUUGCGUGUCGGGCUUUGGCGGGAGAAAACGGGUAGCUUCUUCGGAGGCUUCUCGUUUUCUUUCAGGGAGCUGUCUCGAGUGUGCCGUCAAAAAGCGCAAUGCCGAGAUGCCCCACGUCAGGGUCAAUCGUUAAUCGCACGUGAGUGGGAGUGCCGGUGCACUUGUAGCCAGUAUCAGGCCAACAUCAGUUCGGUGAAAUUUUUUUCUUGCCAGACGAAGGAGACAGGGACCUWAGGGAGAAGGUGGCCGUGGUGAACAGAAUUUAUUCUGCCUUUGCCGCGGCGUUACAGCUCCCUUUGGAAAAUAUUUUCUAUUUCUACACGUCGCGGCCCGGACUGAGGAAACGCAGCAGCGCGCCCUUUCGCCUUUGYUUGCCUUCGGGGAAGUGAGGGAGUUGAAGGGAAACUUGCAGAGCUUCCGCUGGAACGCCUGGUGACCGUGACUGCACCUUAAUCGGGUAGUGGCGGGAGCUAUUUCAGUUGUUCCUUUUUUCUUCGGAGAAAAARAGCAGCUGGAGGAAGUGUGUUCUACCUUACGAGCCACGGGAGUCUACGCGUUAUUCGCGCUUGUGAUGUUGGCGAAAUGGCUUCAUCCGACCCGUCUUGAAACACGGACCAAGGAGUCUAACAUGUGCGCGAGUCUUUGGGUGACAAACCCGCGGGCGAAAUGAAAGUGAAGGCGCGCCAUUCUUUGUCGCGCGUCGAGGUGAGACGCCUCCUCUUCGGGGGAAAGGCCGCAUCAUCGACCGAUCCGGACGGGCCGAGGAUUUYCCAGGACUUGUYCUGGRUGCCACGGACUUCCAGAAAGAUUUGAGUAAGAGCGUAUAUGCUGGGACCCGAAAGAUGGUGAACUAUGCCUGAACAGGGUGAAGUCUGAGGAAACUCAGAUGGAAGCUCGCAGCGAUUCUGACGUGCAAAUCGAUCGUCUGAUUUGGGUAUAGGGGCGAAAGACUAAUCGAACCAUCUAGUAGCUGGUUCCCUCCGAAAUUUCCCUCAGGAUAGCUGGAACUCGAGACGCAGUUUUAUCAGGUAAAGCGAAUGAUUAGAGGCCUUGGGGUCGAAAUGACCUCAACCUAUUCUCAAACUUUAAAUGGGUAAGAAGCGCGACUUGCUUAAUUGAAGCCGUGCCACGUUUCGAAAGAAAAAGAAUGCAAGAGUUCCAAGUGGGCCAUUUUUGGUAAGCAGAACUGGCGAUGCGGGAUGAACCGAACGCGAAGUUAAAGUGCCAAAGUUCACGCUCACCUAGAACCCACAAAAGGUGUUGGCUGAUGAAGACAGCAGGACGGUGGCCAUGGAAGUCGGAAUCCGCUAAGGAGUGUGUAACAACUCACCUGCCGAAUCAGCCAGCCCUGAAAAUGGAUGGCGCUCAAGCGUGACACUCAUACUUCGCCGUUGCCGCAAACGAAGCAGACGCAUACUCUAAACUUUGCCGCAACGAGUAGGAGGGCGUGGAGGUAAUUAGUGAAGCAGCUCAGGGCGUGAGCCCGAGUGAAACUGCC
rnacentral:rRNA from 1 species